rnacentral:rRNA from 1 species
AUGAUAGUUCCAUCUCUGUCCAAAUACCUAAUGACCCCCAUGAUGAAAAGAAUUAAAAAUAGACUGCUGAGCUGCUCCACCUUGCUAUCCACUGAAGACAAGAUUACUCUGAUCAAAUCAGUUUUCUCCAGCAUGCAUGCUUAUUUCAUGUACUCCUUGGUGCUACCCAAGGCUAUGGUGAAUCAGAUUUGUGUCUACCCGAAGAAUUGUUUUAGGAGGAAAUAUGGUACCCAAGAAACAGGUUCAGCCCUAGUAGCAUGGGACACAGUCAGCAAACCUAAAUCCCAUGGAGGACUAGGUAUAUUGGAUAUCACUACCCAUAACAAGGCUCUAUUAAUGAAAUUUCUUCAUAAGUUCCUCAAAGUAGACAAUCCAUGGGUCAACAUUAUCUGGGAAACUCACUAUCAAGAUACUCUGCCUGGAGAUAAAAUGGUGGGAUCUUUCUAG